GGGGCUAUGGUGGAAUUGGCAGACACGCCAGUCUUAGAAACUGGUUGCGUAAGCAGUACAAGUUCAAGUCUUGUUAGCCCCACCA
rnacentral:tRNA from 1 species